AGGAUGAACGCUGGCGGCGUGCUUAACACAUGCAAGUCGAACGAUGAACCUCGCUUGGCGGGGGAUUAGUGGCGAACGGGUGAGUAACACGUGAGUAACCUGCCCUUAACUCUGGGAUAAGCCUUGGAAACGGGGUCUAAUACUGGAUAUUGUACUUUACCUCGCAGUUGGGGGUUUGGUUGAAAGAUUUAUUGGUUUUGGAUGGACUCGCGGCCUAUCAGCUUGUUGGUGAGGUAAUGGCUCACCAAGGCGACGACGGGUA
rnacentral:rRNA from 1 species